rnacentral:rRNA from 1 species
GUCCACGCUGUAAACGAUGGAUGCUAGCUGUUACGAGUAUCGAACCUUGUAGUAGCGAAGCUAACGCGUUAAGCAUCCAGCCUGUGGAGUACGAGCGCAAGCUUAAAACAUAAAGGAAUUGACGGGGACCCGCACAAGCGGUGGAGCGUGUUGUUUAAUUCGAUGGUAAGCGAAGAACCUUACACAGGUUUGACAUCCUUGGAAUUUCUCCGAAAGGAGAAAGUGCUUUAUUGAACCAAGUGACAGGUGUUGCAUGGCCGUCGU